rnacentral:rRNA from 1 species
CGCUGGCGGUAUGCUUAAUACAUGCAAGUCGUACGAGAAUUUUUAGUUCUAGUGGCGGACGGGUGAGUAACACGUGAGAAUCUGCCCUUAGGAGGAGGAUAACAGCUGGAAACGGUUGCUAAUACUCCAUAUGCCGAGAGGUGAAAGGAUUUAUCUGCCUAAGGAGGAGCUCGCGUCUGAUUAGCUAGUUGGUAGGGUAAUAGCCUACCAAGGCGACGAUCAGUAGCUGGUUUGAGAGGAUGAUCAGCCACACUGGGACUGAGACACGGCCCAGACUCCUACGGGAGGCAACAGUAGGGAAUUUUCCGCAAUGGGCGAAAGCCUGACGGAGCAAUACCGCGUGAGGGAUGACGGCCUGUGGGUUGUAAACCUCUUUUCUCAAGGAAGAAGCUCUGACGGUACUUGAGGAAUAAGCAUCGGCUAACUCUGUGCCAGCAGCCGCGGUAAUACAGAGGAUGCAAGCGUUAUCCGGAAUCACUGGGCAUAAAACGUCUGUAGGUGGUUUGGUAAGUCUGCUGUUAAAGACUGGGGCUCAACCCCAGAAAAGCAGUGGAAACUGCCAGACUUGAGUGUGGUAGAGGUAGAGGGAAUUCCUAGUGUAGCGGUGAAAUGCGUAGAUAUUAGGAAGAACACCAAUGGCGAAGGCACUUUACUGGGCCAUCACUGACACUGAGAGACGACAGCUAGGGGAGCAAAUGGGAUUAGAUACCCCAGUAGUCCUAGCCGUAAACGAUGGAUACUAGAUGUUGCACGUAUUAACCCGUGCAGUAUCGUAGCUAAGGGUAGUAUCCGCUGGA